AUACGAAGGGGGCUAGCGUUGUUCGGAUUUACUGGGCGUAAAGCGCACGUAGGCGGUUUGUUAAGUCAGGGGUGAAAUCCUGGAGCUCAACUCCAGAACUGCCCUUGAUACUGGCAAGCUAGAGUCCGGAAGAGGUGAGUGGAACUCCUAGUGUAGAGGUGGAAUUCGUAGAUAUUAGGAAGAACACCAGUGGCGAAGGCGGCUCACUGGUCCGGUACUGACGCUGAGGUGCGAAAGCGUGGGGAGC
rnacentral:rRNA from 1 species